rnacentral:rRNA from 1 species
AUUGAACGCUGGCGGCAUGCCUUACACAUGCAAGUCGAACGGUAACGGGUCCUUCGGGAUGCCGACGAGUGGCGAACGGGUGAGUAAUAUAUCGGAACGUGCCCAGUAGUGGGGGAUAACUGCUCGAAAGAGCAGCUAAUACCGCAUACGACCUGAGGGUGAAAGGGGGGGAUCGCAAGACCUCUCGCUAUUGGAGCGGCCGAUAUCAGAUUAGCUAGUUGGUGGGGUAAAGGCCUACCAAGGCGACGAUCUGUAGUUGGUCUGAGAGGACGACCAGCCACACUGGGGCUGAGACACGGCCCAGACUCCUACGGGAGGCAGCAGUGGGGAAUUUUGGACAAUGGGCGCAAGCCUGAUCCAGCAAUGCCGCGUGCAGGAAGAAGGCCUUCAGGUUGUAAACUGCUUUUGUCAGGGAAGAAAUCUUCUGGGCUAAUACCCCGGGAGGAUGACGGUACCUGAAGAAUAAGCACCGGCUAACUACGUGCCAGCAGCCGCGGUAAUACGUAGGGUGCGAGCGUUAAUCGGAAUUACUGGGCGUAAAGCGUGCGCAGGCGGCUUUGCAAGACAGAUGUGAAAUCCCCGGGCUCAACCUGGGAACUGCAUUUGUGACUGCAAGGCUAGAGUACGGCAGAGGGGGAUGGAAUUCCGCGUGUAGCAGUGAAAUGCGUAGAUGUGCGGAGGAACACCAAUGGCGAAGGCAAUCCCCUGGGCCUGUACUGACGCUCAUGCACGAAAGCGUGGGGAGCAAACAGGAUUAGAUACCCUGGUAGUCCACGCCCUAAACGAUGUCAACUGGUUGUUGGACGGCUUGCUGUUCAGUAACGAAGCUAACGCGUGAAGUUGACCGCCUGGGGAGUACGGCCGCAAGGUUGAAACUCGAAGGAAUUGACGGGGACCCGCACAAGCGGUGGAUGAUGUGGUUUAAUUCGAUGCAACGCGAAAAACCUUACCUACCCUUGACAUGUCAAGAAUUCUGCAGAGAUGUGGAAGUGCUCGAAAGAGAACUUGAACACAGGUGCUGCAUGGCCGUCGUCAGCUCGUGUCGUGAGAUGUUGGGUUAAGUCCCGCAACGAGCGCAACCCUUGUCAUUAGUUGCUACGCAAGAGCACUCUAAUGAGACUGCCGGUGACAAACCGGAGGAAGGUGGGGAUGACGUCAGGUCCUCAUGGCCCUUAUGGGUAGGGCUACACACGUCAUACAAUGGCCGGUACAGAGGGCUGCCAACCCGCGAGGGGGAGCCAAUCCCAGAAAACCGGUCGUAGUCCGGAUCGUAGUCUGCAACUCGACUGCGUGAAGUCGGAAUCGCUAGUAAUCGCGGAUCAGCUUGCCGCGGUGAAUACGUUCCCGGGUCU